rnacentral:rRNA from 1 species
UGGGGAAUUUUGGACAAUGGGCGCAAGCCUGAUCCAGCCAUGCCGCGUGCGGGAAGAAGGCCUUCGGGUUGUAAACCGCUUUUGUCAGGGAAGAAAUCUUCUGAGUUAAUACCUCGGGAGGAUGACGGUACCUGAAGAAUAAGCACCGGCUAACUACGUGCCAGCAGCCGCGGUAAUACGUAGGGUGCAAGCGUUAAUCGGAAUUACUGGGCGUAAAGCGUGCGCAGGCGGUUUUGUAAGACAGAGGUGAAAUCCCCGGGCUCAACCUGGGAACUGCCUUUGUGACUGCAAGGCUUGAGUGCGGCAGAGGGGGGAUGGAAUUCCGCGUGUAGCAGUGAAAUGCGUAGAUAUGCGGAGGAACACCGAUGGCGAAGGCAAUCCCCUGGGCCUGCACUGACGCUCAUGCACGGAAGCGUGGGGAGCAAAACAGGAUUAGAUACCCUGGUAGUCCACGCCCUAAAACGAUGUCAACUGGUUGUUGGGAAGGUUCCUUCUCAGUAACGUAGCUAACGCGUGAAGUUGACCGCCUGGGGAGUACGGCCGCAGGGUUGAAAACUC